UCCUCUGCAGGAGGGAGAGGGAACAAAAUUCCAUUUUUUUCCCCCUUGGAACUCUCAAAGCUGUGUUUAAACAAUAAACUUUAUUUGGAUCACAGAACCUUCAGCUCUCUGGACCAAACACACUCCCUGCCCAUUCCUGGUUCUGUGCUCCCAGCUGGUGAGGUUCUGGUUCCUGGGGAGCCCAGGGUGGGUUAUUAUUUGCAGGUUAUUUACAUUUAUUGUGCUUUAUCAGGAUGGGUAAAUCAGCUCCUGCCCCUGAAGCACACCCUGGCAGGCAGUGGGAACAAAUGGGAUUUACUGGGAGAACUGAGGGGGAACCAGAGCAGGGACACUCCCGGACGUGGCCAGGUGAGCGCAGGGACGCUCGGUGUCCUGGGAGGGUCCAGCACGGGAGGCACAGCUCGGUGCAGCAGGGGGAACUGUUCACCUGCACAUGGCACUGCCAGGUGUUCCCGGGAUCCUGCUCGUCCAGGAGUGCCUGAGCAGUGGUGGCCCAACCCAGCUGAAAUUCAGGAAAACAGCCUGGAUCCCACAAAAAUGACAAAAGGGGGAGAGGCGGAGGAGUGCCUGCACGCAGAAAUGACAGAGGGAUGUUUGGGAGCUCCUCCAUCAGGAGGGUUUGACAAGGGAUGGCUGGGGUCUGAGCAGGGCCAGGAGAUGGAUCCAUGGUCCCUGUGGGUGCCUCCAGCCCACAGGAAUGGCAGAGCCAUCCCCACCUGUGCUGCUGUGGAUUUACUGCGCUGUCCCCUUCCCCAGGGAUCCAUCCUGGAUUUAUGGCUGCGCUCAGUGACACUCCAGGGCCGUAAAUAACUGCACCCACAAUGCCUGACUUUGCUUUAUGGGUCCCCAUCAGUGAUUAAAUUACAUUUUCCUGGAUAUAACUUUCACUGGGGAGGGACACACUCACAGAGAAAGGGCUGCCUGGGUGACCUUGGCCUUCAGCUUCGGGGUUUUGGCAAAAAAGGGUUUAUAAAACACCAGGAAGAGCAUAAAGGAAGUUCAGGGAGGGUAGGAGAUGAUUGCAGUCAACACGAGGAUGCAUUUCCUUCCUCCGUAUGUUCUUAGAGGCAUGGAAUGGUUCUGGGCUCCCCCAGUGCUCCAAAUGUCACUGGCUUUUCCUUUUCCUAAGAAAAAUAAAGAGAAAAGGCUUUUUUUGUGUUGUUUUGGU
rnacentral:lncRNA from 1 species